GAUCUGAACCAUACGAUCGCGUUUAAAAAAGGAACGAAUCUAGACCGUUCAUCGCAUUUAAUUGCGACCGUCCGAUCGCGCCUGAGGAGGUAACAGGUCCGGACCGUCGGAUCGCGGGUACGCAGAUUGCCAGCAAGACCUCCCGCGUGGCAUCCGUCAGCGUGCCUUGCCAGGCUGCGCACUUCUGUUCGUCGGGACUGCUAAUUGGGCAGUCAUACGUAACACAUUUUUCUUAAAUUACGUUUUGAUCUCCAGAACCCA
rnacentral:lncRNA from 1 species